rnacentral:rRNA from 1 species
UACAGGGGGUGCAAACGUUGCUCGGAAUCAUUGGGCGUAAAGCGCACGUAGGCGGUUCGUUAUGUCGGAUGUGAAAGCCCUUGGCUUAACCGAGGAAGUGCAUCCGAAACUGGCGAGCUAGAGUACUAAAGAGGAUCGCGGAAUUCCCGGUGUAGCGGUGAAAUGCGCAGAUAUCGGGAAGAACACCCGUGGCGAAGGCGGCUCUCUGGGACGGUACUGACGCUGAGACGCGAAAGCGUGGGGAGCGAACAGG